CCUGUCAUGCGCAUUGAGAGUCCUCGAGACAGGCGCUCCUCGCAGCACCGUCGUGCGCUUGCGCUGAGCAGCCCGCGAGGGCGGAAGUGGGAGCUGCGACCGGGAGGAGGGGGCGCCGCGCUCGCUGUGAGGUGGGCAAGCGGCGGAAAUGGCGCCCUCCGGGAGUCUUGCAGUUCCCCUGGCAGUCCUGGUGUUGUUGCUUUGGGGUGCUCCCUGGACGCACGGGCGGCGGAGCAACGUUCGCGUCAUCACGGACGAGAACUGGAGAGAACUGCUGGAAGGAGACUGGAUGAUAGAAUUUUAUGCCCCGUGGUGCCCUGCUUGUCAAAAUCUUCAACCGGAAUGGGAAAGUUUUGCUGAAUGGGGAGAAGAUCUUGAGGUUAAUGUUGCGAAAGUAGAUGUCACAGAGCAGCCAGGUACUGACUGAGUGGACGGUUUAUCAUAACUGCUCUUCCUACUAUUUAUCAGUAAGUAUUUGAAGAUUCUAAAUUAUGGAGAAGGAUGCAUUAUAGUGUAAUCAGAAGUAGUAGGCCUCUGGCUUGGAUCAUGUUGGAAGAGCUGAGAUAAUCUCAUUAUAUUCAGCAGGUAUUUUAGAGGGCUUGUUUUGCUUAGUAAUAUCUUAGGUGCCUUUAGGUAGUUGCGUGAUGUGUGAAACAGUCUCUGUUCUCAGAUUUACAGUUGUUUUGGAAAGUGAUGUUCUUGUGAAAUGGUGUGAUCCUGUUCAGCGUGUUAAGUCAUUAUGAGUCCAAAGUAGUGAUGAGUCCUGUAGGAAAUUGGAUAAAGGAGAAAUCACAGUUACCUGGGUUGGUUCCCAGAGAAUAUGGGGUUUAAAUGAAACCUUGGAAGUAGAAUUUUAAGAGUGGAGCGUAAGCAUUUUAUUCUGAGGACAAUCUCAUAAACAGUCAUUAACAAGACCAUGUUAUGUCCAAAAAGUAGCUAAGAAAGUGCUGUUGUACAG
rnacentral:sRNA from 1 species